AACAGGAUUAGAUACCCUGGUAGUCCACGCCCUAAACGAUGUCUACUAGUUGCCGGGUUUUAAUUAACUUGGUAACGCAGCUAACGCGUGAAGUAGACCGCCUGGGGAGUACGGUCGCAAGAUUAAAACUCAAAGGAAUUGACGGGGACCCGCACAAGCGGUGGAUGAUGUGGAUUAAUUCGAUGCAACGCGAAAAACCUUACCUACCCUUGACAUGUACGGAAGACCGAAGAGAUUUGGUUGUGCUCGAAAGAGAACCGUAACACAGGUGCUGCAUGGCUGUCGUCAGCUCGUGUCGUGAGAUGUUGGGUUAAGUCCCGCAACGAGCGCAACCCUUGUCAUUAGUUGCUACAUUUAGUUGAGCACUCUAAUGAGACUGCCGGUGACAAACCGGAGGAAGGUGGGGAUGACGUCAAGUCCUCAUGGCCCUUAUGGGUAGGGCUUCACACGUCAUACAAUGGUACAUACAGAGGGCCGCCAACCCGCGAGGGGGAGCUAAUCCCAGAAAGUGUAUCGUAGUCCGGAUCGCAGUCUGCUACUCGACUGCGUGAAGUUGGAAUCGCUAGUAAUCGCGGAUCAGCAUGUCGCGGUGAAUACGUUCCCGGGUCUUGUACACACCGCCCGUCACACCAUGGGAGCGGGUUUUACCAGAAGUAGGUAGCUUAACCGCAAGGAGGGCGCUUACCACGGUAGGAUUCGUGACUGGGGUGAAGUCGUAACAAGGUAACC
rnacentral:rRNA from 1 species